rnacentral:rRNA from 1 species
GACGAACGCUGGCGGCGUGCUUAACACAUGCAAGUCGAACGGUGAAGCGCCUUCCUUUUUGGUGGGUGUGGAUGAGUGGCGAACGGGUGAGUAACACGUGAGUAACCUGCCCCCUUCUUCUGGAUAACCGCAUGAAAGUGUGGCUAAUACGGGAUAUUCUGGGUCUGUCGCAUGAUGGGUCUGGGAAAGAUAUUGUUUCGGUGGGGGAUGGGCUCGCGGCCUAUCAGCUUGUUGGUGGGGUGAUGGCCUACCAAGGCGGUGACGGGUAGCCGGCCCGAGAGGGUGGACGGUCACACUGGGACUGAGACACGGCCCAGACUCCUACGGGAGGCAGCAGUGGGGAAUAUUGCACAAUGGGCGCAAGCCUGAUGCAGCGACGCCGCGUGAGGGAUGGAGGCCUUCGGGUUGUGAACCUCUUUCGCCAGUGAAGCAGGCCUGCCUCGUUUGUGGGUGGGUUGACGGUAGCUGGAGAAGAAGCGCCGGCUAACUACGUG